AUGCAGGUCGACUGCAUGGAGCUGGUCACCCAAUGGAGUUCGCGCAGCAACUCAAGAUCUAUUGCAGCGCCUAUCUUUCAAGAACUGGAAGCUUUAGUCCUUAAUUUUGUUUCUUUCUCGGUUCAGCAUAUUAGUAGGGAACUUAAUUUCCUGGCCCAUCUGUGUGCACAGCGUGCCUGUGCAACGGAGGGCACGGACUGUUGGCUCGAUGCGAGUCCAGAUUUUCUUGUUACUAGCCUACGGGCAGACUGUAACCGCAUGAUCAUUCGUUAA
rnacentral:rRNA from 1 species